UACGGAGGGUGCGAGCGUUGUCCGGAAUCAUUGGGCGUAAAGAGCUUGUAGGCGGUUUGUCGCGUCUGCCGUGAAAAUUCGAGGCUCAACCUCGAACUUGCGGUGGGUACGGGCAGACUAGAGUGUGGUAGGGGAGACUGGAAUUCCUGGUGUAGCGGUGAAAUGCGCAGAUAUCAGGAGGAACACCGAUGGCGAAGGCAGGUCUCUGGGCCACUACUGACGCUGAGAAGCGAAAGCAUGGGGAGCGAACAGG
rnacentral:rRNA from 1 species